AUUUCGAGCAUGACUUCAUUGGCGUCAGCAACGUUUUGCUGUUCGGGUUUAGCCGCCAUGUUUAAGUUGGCCGGGUUUCGCACCACUGAGGUCAUGGAUACUCAGGCCUCUUUGCGUGUUUCUUCAACACUGCUUCUAAGGUUAACCGCGUUACAUUUGUUGGAGAAAAUCCUGGGAACGCUGAAAAGGACUAGUGGGUGGGGUGCGAGGGUGGGGUCUUGCCCGAAUUAAAGAUGGCCGCAGUCAGCUCUGCCCCGCGCAAUUUCACGUCAAGUUUUGGAGCUGCGGGAGCCGGCCAGUUGGCCUCAGCGCCUCCUUACGGAAUUGGCGUAAGGCAAAGAGGCGCGGCUGGAAGAACCAGACUGAGAAAGUGCCACAGGGCGGGGGCCGCAUCCGCCCCUCGGCUUCUGGUUACUGACCCGACGGCUUUGUGAGUGAAAGUGAAGAGACACUUCGAGGCAGGUGUCUGUGCUCCCCAUUCAUCCCUGUUUCCGUGGCUAUCUUGACUUUCGGGGUGAAAAGUGAGGUUAGGCCCUGUUUCCCCGACCCUUCCCUCGCGCCAUCACACUCUAGUGGCCUGGCACAGCCCCAGAGGUCGGCCGCUGUAGCCCCCAUUGCGGACUCGCCACAUUCAUAUUGGCUCACCUUGUCGGUGCCCGGUUCGGUCCUCUUGGAGCUCACACUCCAGUUGAGGAAAUGAAUGGACACAGGAACUACUGGGUAACAAAAUACUAAUAAAGGGCUGCGAUUGUGUGAGUUUCUACUGUAGCGAUGAAUGUCGCUGUCAUUGGAACGUUCCCCAAGUGCCUUCUAGUGAAAGCCUUACUUCACUCGGAAUAACCUGUGGUCUUUUCUUGAACGUGAUGGCUCUCUUGGUUGUAUUCUUCAUGCACAUGUGUUACUUUUCCUGUUUAACUACAUGUUAAAGAAAUGUGUAUGUUCCUGUUUAACUGCAUGUUUUAAAAAAGUAUGUGUAUUUUUAAGUUAUAGGCACGUGCAAGAAAGUUCAGAGCAAAAUAGCUUAUAUUAGUGAAACAAUAAAUGUCUACUAAUAGGAGAAUGGAUGAAUAAGUGUCAUUGUUGAACAAAUUGACAUACAACACGAACCAAAAAAUCAGUGAACUAAAGCUACCAUUUUUCAUAUGGAUAGAGUCAUUAACCUAAUAUUGAGGAAGAAAUGAAAAGACAGGUUGCGGAAAGAUAUAUAUGACAUACCAUAAAUAAAAGUUUAAUAAUUACAAAAAAGUAAGAUCAAACUAAAAAUUGUAUAAGGAAAUGAUAGAUACCAAAUUCAGAAUACUGGUUGCUUCCAGAGAUGAACAGAAGGGAAUGUAACAAGAAGGGUUCAUUUGUAUCUAUAACGUUUGUUUUCUACCAGAAAUAUCUUGAAAAUGUGGCAAAACAUUAAGCUAAGUAGAGGGCACAUGGGUGUUCACUUGUAAUUAUUUCCUUUACUGUUCUAUAUACUUGAAAUAUUUCCAAGUAAUUUUUUUUAAGAAAAGAAACUUAUAGAAGCAACUUAUUUUGUAUCUUGAUAUAUGCCAUUUCGUAAGUCUACAUUUUUACUGAACUGCUUAUGAAGUCUGUUGCAACUUAUCUGUUCAAUCAUUGUUUUAAGUUUCUGAAACUUCAAAUGAACUUUUACUUUGGGAAAUUUUGUUGAAUUUCUAUUUUUGAAAAAAAGCAGUGUACCAAGGAGGGUAAAUGUAUAUAGCCUCCGGAGUCAGACUGCCUGAGUUCAAAUCCCAGCUCUCCAUUUAUUAGGCUUGCAACCAAGAACAAGUUACUUAAACUUUCCUGUGAUCCAGUUUCCUCAUCUAUAAACGGAGAUAAUACUUAUCUAACAGGAUUUUGAUAAGAGUUAAAUAGACUAAUACAUGAACACGGUGCUUAGUCAAUGCUUAGUAAAUAUUACCUAAAUAUAGAUUAUUUUAAAAUAUAAAAUUAAAGCAAAUACUUAUAUUAAUAUAACCUAAUAGUCUAAAGGAAGUAAAUCUUUGCCUCCCAUCUCUAUUGAUAAUAUUUCUUUGAGGAAGAUCUCUUAAUGGGUAUGAAAGAGGUGAAUUGUGUUAUUUUGUGCUAUGAAAAUGGAUAAAUUCUUAAUAGAAACUAUAUUAAAUUCCUUGUCUGAAGUUUGUUCAUGUUCACCCCACACUAUGAUAGCUUCACUACUUUUCAUUGAAAAUCACACAGAGUGGCCGGGCGCGGUGGCUCACGCCUGUAAUCCCAGCACUUUGGGAGGCCGAGGCAGGCAGAUCGCCUGAGGUCAGGAGUUCGAGACCAGCCUGGCUAACAUGGUGAAACCCCGCAUCUACUAAAAAUACAAAAAAUUAGCCGGGUGUGGUGGCGGUACCUGUAAUUCCUGCUACUCGGGAGACUGAGGCAGGAGAAUCACUUGAACCCAGGAGGCGGAGGUUACAGUGAGCCCAGAUAGCACCACUGCACUCCAGCCUGGGCAACAAGAGCGAAAUUCCGUCUCAAAAAAAAAAAAGAAAAAAUUAUACGGAGUGUUACAGGCAAUGAAAUAAUGAUAUUCUGAGGAACUUUCUUUGUAGGGAGGUUUCAUAGCCAAUGUUCUAUAAUGUAUAUACAUGUGUUAUGCAAAUUAUACGUGGUGCACGAGGAAAGAGAAUUGUAUUGAUCUUAUGAUCUCUUUAUUGCACUUAUUUGCAAUAUUUAUGAUCUCUUUAUUGCAUUUAUUUGUUAAUAAAAUAUAGCCUAGACUUUACUGACUCAGAAACAGAUUUAAAAAAACUGAUCUGAAAUUCUGGACAGACCAUAUAGAUGGUUUCCACCACAUAUUUACAGCGUCCAAACUCACGUGGGCCUUCAACUUUACCAAGCAAUGCUUGUUUCCCUAGUUGGCUCUCUCUUAAUUUCCACAACAGCCACUUCUGAUUUUCUCCUUAUUUUUCAAACCACUCCCCUCACUUAUUCUCAAAUAAGAGAAUAGAAAAAAAUAGAAACCAUCAAAGAGGAACUCAGGCUGAGCGUGAUGGCUCAUGCCUGUAAACCCAGAACUUUGGAAGGCCGAGGCAGGCACAUCACCUGAGGUCAGGAGUUCGAGACCAGUCUGGCCAACAUGGUGAAACCCUGUUUCUACUAAAAAUACAAAAAUUAGCCGGAUGUCUUGGCGGGUGCCUGUAAUCCCAGCUACUAGGGAGGCUGAGGCAAGAUAAUUGCUUGAACCCAGGAGGCAGAGGUUGCAGUGAGCCAAGAUCGUGCCACUGCCAGCCCUGGUGACAGAGCGAGGCUCCGUCUCAGAAAAAAAAAACAGGAACUCCAACAAUUUUAUGUCUCCAUACUCAUUCUUUCAAGCUUCACGGUAGAUUAGGUGCCCCCCUGUCUGAGGCACAUAUCUCUGCCAGUUCCCUGUAUUCCAUCUCUUUGUGCUCGUUCUCUAGAUUCUCACUCCUCCUGCCUUUCCAGGAACUGCAGUCAAUGGGUUCUUUAUUCAACAAGCUUCUGGGUUCUGCAACUACCACUCCACUGAAAUUCUCAACGAGGUCACCAAGAACCUCUUGUGUUCAAUCCAGUAGACCCUUUGUCUUAUUUUCCUUGACCUCUCUGCAGCAUUUGAUACUAGAACCCUUGGCCUUCUGCAUUCAUAUGCCUUGAUUUGUGAAACCACACUUUCCUAGUUUUUCUCCUAGAUCUCUGUGUCUCUAUUUUACCUUUCAGGACCCCCUUCUGGCUGUCAAAUAUCCAUGAACCCCAAAGUUGUGUGCAAUUUGUUUCUAUCUCACUUUUUACAUUAUCCUUUAUGUGGUCUCAUUCACCUUCAUGGCUUCAGCCGCCGUAUAUACACUAGUAACUCCUAAUGCAAGUUUCUAGUCCAGUUCUCUCUUCUGACUACAAACCUAUAUGUCUUACUGCCUUCAAAAUAUCUGUCCUGGAUGUUCCAAGAUAUCUCAAAAAUCCCAAACUAAACUCUUUAUUUUACCAGCUUUUAUGUUUCUAAUCUCUAAAAGUGGGUAUCAUCAACCCGCUUUUGUAAACCAGAAAUAUGGGUAUUUACUCAGCCCGUCUCUCUCUGUCAGCCAUUAGAAAGCCCUAUCAGUUUUUCCUUCUCAACUCUAAUUUUCCAUUUCUCUCCGCUUCAUUACUAUUCUACUUAAGCCAUAAUUAUCUCCUGCCUCAACUCCUUGCAGUAGCUUUUCUGGCCGGUAAUACUGCAACUCAUCCUUUACAUCGUACCCAGAGUGACCUUUCUAAACUUUAACUAUGUCAGUCCCCUGUUUAAAGUCUUAAAAUUUUCCUUGAAGAAACUUGCAUGACACAUUCCCUCAUUUCUGGCUAAUCUGCUAUACCUUGCUCACCCUAAAUCCUAGUAAGCCCUGCUGCUCCCACUUCACUCUCCUUUUUACAUUUGCAUUCCUUACCUGGUUUUUCCUUUAAGUCUCAGCUUAACCACUAUUUUCUCUAAAAGUCUUCCUUGAUCACCAAAAACUAGGCUAGGUACCCUCUCACCUCCCAUAGUAUCUUGUGUUUUCUCCUAUGGUAGUUCUAGUAGCAGAGUUUUGUAAAUACUUGUCUCCUAUUUAAGAGAGACAAAUUUAAGUCUAAACUCCUUAAAGUCAAGAUCUCUUGUCUUGUCCACCUCUGUAGCCUCAGCACCUGGCCCAGGAUAUGGUAUUCAUUACUUUAUUUGACAAUUACUUCUUGAGUGAUAAUUGGAUACUAGGCACUAGCACAUUGGUUGAAGUGUGGAAUGGGGAAACCUCAAGAGGGAAUCUCUUGAGAUGUGCCAAGACGUCAAUGUCUUAAUUACAAUAAUAAGACGUAUUUUUUACCUUUUUUGUUCCCAUUAUUUAAUGAGCACACAGUGUCAUUUUCCAGAGAUUGUGUGAAGUGUGAUAUUGCAACAGCUUGAAUGCAAAAACAAAAUAAUCCGGCUAUCUUCUAUUAAGCUAGACAUUAAAGGGGUUUGCAAAAAUGUAAAGCAAUGGCACUCCAAACUAUUUCUUUGUUGUUGUUUUGGAAGAUACAGUUAUUUUUCAUCAAAAUAUGUUUUUUACAUUAUCAUGUAACGGUUUAGUGUUAUUUGAUGAAUUUUAAUGAAUUGGUUUUUUAAUGAAGUAGUAAUAUUUUAAAACAUUCUCAGUUUUAAUUUUUAAUACAAUAAAUAUCAAUAGAUAUAUUUCACAUAAAGAAAUACUCUUUGGGGUUCUCGAUAAUAUUUAAGAAUGUAAAGGAGUACUGAGACCAAAAGUUUGAGAACUGCUGCACUAGCACAUAUGUGAGCUCAAUGUAGAUGUGUUAAAUUAUAAUUAGUGAAUGUCAGCUUGCCAAAACUCUGGCACACAGCUGCUUAAUGUUUCUUAAUAAAGGUUCCUCCCAAAUGCCCAGACUUCGUGUCUGAACAGGUAAAAAUAUUACCCAGAUUUAACAUUUGAAUAUGCAUAAGUGAAAGUAUUCUUUAGGUCAGUGUGCUUUGUAAACUAUGGAGUGUUAUGCAAAUAUUCUUGUUUUAGUAAUUGUCUGUGAUAAAUAUGGACCAACAUUCUAGCUGGUAGUAGAACCAGGACUACCUAUAAUAACCUGAAGAUGAGAAUUUUUAUAGCCAGCCAUUUCACAUUAAUCUCAUUUAAUCCAUAUAACAAUUUUAUGGAACAGGUAUUACACCCACUUUUUAAUUGAGUAAACCAAAGUUCAAAGAAAUGAAAUGAUUUCCCUUUAGCUCUUCACAUUUUAUAAGGCUCUGAGACAAGGUUCAGAGAACUCAUACUUUUCCAAUAAAUGAGAUCUCAGGUGAAGAGAUUUGUUUCCCUAUUGUCCUGAAUCCUAUCCUUUAUUUGCUGGACAUUAGUCUGGUGAGAGGGUAAGAUGAUUGUUACAAUUUUCAGGUACUUUUUUACCUUUGAUGCAAGAAGAAGGACCAGAGAAUGGUAUUAGGUCUAUAUGAAGGUUCUAUUUGAGGGCCAACUCAGAACAUAACAGUAAAAAUGAGAUGGCACCUCUCAACAGAUCUCUCCUGUUUUCUGCGUUACCAAAAAUUAGCAGACAUGGUCAGGUUGAGUGGUGGAGGGGAAGCUUGAGACUUCAGGUGUGUAUUUUAUGAACCAGGUUAGGCAAUCCACAAUAUUUUGCUAUUAACAGUAACAUCCAAGUAUCCAAAAAGCCCUUGAGUGCUUUAUAUUCCUCCUUUGAAGGAUAUUGGAAGAGGAUUGAGAAAUUAUGUGGAAAAGAAAGAGCCAUUAACUAAAACUUUUUUCUUGUGAAAAUUAAAGUUAUGUAACUUGUUCAUGAAAGCUGAAACUAGGGCUAGGCACGGUGGCUCAUGCCUGUGAUCCCAGCACUUUGGGAGGCCAAGGUGGGUGGAUCACGAGGUUAGGAGUUCAAGACCAGCCUGGCCAACAUGGUGAAACCCUGUCUCUACUGAAAUGCAAAAAUUAGCUGGGCGUGGUGGUGCACGCCUGUAAUCCCGCUACUGGAGAGGCUGAGGCAGGAGAGUGGCUUGAACCUAGGAGGCGGAGGUUGCAGUGAGCAGAUUGUUCCACUGCACUCCAGCCUGGGUGACAGAGCAAGACUCCGUCUCAAAAAAAAAAAAAAAAAAACAAGUUGAAACUAACUUAGUUUUGUAUGAAUUAAUUUUUUUUUCAGGUCAGAUUUCAAAUAUGAAAACUCUUCAUUCAAGAUAUAGCCAGCCCCUCCGUAUCUGUGGGUUCCACACCCAUGGAUUCAACCAACCACAGAAAAUUUUUUUUAAAUUGCAUCUGUACUGAACAUGUACAGACUUCUUCUUGUCAUUAUUCCUUAAGCAAUAUAGUAUAACAGCCAUUUACAUAGCACUUACCUUGUAUUAGGUAUUAUAAGUAACCUAGAGAUGAUUUGAAGUAUAAGAGAGGAUAUGUAUAGGUUAUUUGCAAGUACUACACCAUUUCAUAUCAGGGAGUUGGGCAUCUGAGGAUUUUGUCAUCCACAGGAGGUCCUGGAACCAAUCCCCUCUGAUACUGAGAGACAACUAUUACACAAGAGAAAUAUUCUACCAUUCACAAAAUCUCGUUUAAGUGUUGUGAAAUACAAACACCAGGGAAUCAAGAACUUUAGAAAAUUGUGGCUGUGUUCCCAUAUGUGGUACAAAGAACCAGUGAGUCCCAUUUGUUGUGGUUCCUGCAUUCGAUGACUCCAGAUGUGCCACCACCGAGCUAGUCUUAUGACAACCUAGAAGGCAAAUUGAGUCUUGCUCUUUCCCCCAGGCUGGAGUGUAGUGGUAUGACCUCGGCUCACUGCAACCUCUGCCUCCCGGGUUCAAGUGAUUCUCCUGUCUCAGCCUCCCGAGUAGCGGGGACUACAGGCGCCUGCCACUACGACCAGCUAAUUUUUGUAUUUUUAGUAGAGAUGGGGUUUCACCAUAUUGGUCAGGCUGGUCUCAAACCCCCGAACUCAGGUGAUCCAUCCUCCUCGGCCUCCCAAAGUGUUGGGAUUACAGGUGUGAGCCACCAUGCCCGGCCUAAUAACCUUCAUUUUUAAGAACAGUUUUAUAUUUGCAAAAAUAUUGUGAAGAUAGUACAGAGAAUUCCCAUACACCAGGCACGCAGAUUCCCCUAUUAU
rnacentral:lncRNA from 1 species